ACCAGAACUGCAGACUCUGAAUCACAGACCUCUGGCUUACCAAUUAUGCUUAGCUGAGCAAACACACUUAUGCAAAUACGUGAAAAACAAACUGUUAGAGCCUGAAGGAAUAGAGGAUUUCGCUGUGAUCAUCAAUAUGUGAUCAUCACAUUUUCAAUAUUUAUGUUUACCAAUAUCUAUCUAACCCCAUAGGAAACGACGCGUCCAUAGUGAAACAAGCCAGCACCCACAUUUAUGAAAAAAUCCACGGAUUUCAACAAAAAUGAAGAGAGGAGAGCAGAAGCGGAGAGCCACAACCUCAGGCCCCAGACAGCAGGCAGCAGCAAGUCCUGAAUGCCUUCACUCUUAACAUUGCAAAGACCAAAUGGCAGCAAAGAAAAACAAGAAUAAACUUUAAAUCCAUUCACCACAAAGGAGUCCUACGCAAGUCAAAGGAGCCGUCGAUUUCAAAACCAUCAACUUUCAAAGCCAGGUCCCUCCCUUGCCUUACAACCUCCUGUUACUUGUUAAGCACGUUUGUUAGGCGGCUGGACAGAAACUUAGUUAAAAGUCCUCAGCCCGGUGGUGGGGGACAACCGAGUCGUCAGUGGGAAGCGAGAGGUGCGGAGCCCCAGGGGCGCAGGGACCCCUCGGAGGUGCAAGUCCAGCGGGACGAGGUUUUGGGAGAAUUUCGAGGGCCCCUCGCAAGCCCUCCCGCGCACCCACCCCGACCCAGAGUUUAAAAUUUUCCCUUGCUAUCCAAGGAGUUCCAACAGAAGGAAGAGAACCAAGAGUCCCUGGCCCCUUUGGGGAGAAUUUCUCCAUCUUCCUUUGUUAAGGGAAACAAUGGAGCACUUGAAGAAGGCUCUGGAGAGAACAAGAGUUGGGAUUUGAGGAUAUCCCUGAAUAGACUUUCUUCAUUUAGGGUAUUUAAAUAAAUAGCCUAGAUUGCUACCUUUUAGAACAUCAGAAAAAGUAUUCUGCACUUUUGCACAGAAUCUUUGGGGAUGAAGGGAAAAGAAAAUUAUUUCAACAAUUUAAAAACCAAUUAAGUUUUAUGGUGGUAAAAAAGAGAUUCCAUUUGUGCGCCUGCACCAGACUUCAGAGACUCACCUUUUGGCUUGUGAGCCACAUAGAUGACUUUGGGCUCUUAGAGAAACAUUAUGACCUGGCUUUACAUACUUUUAAAGAGAUCUGUUACCUAUCAGCUUGGUGUGGCAGACUGCUAGUGGUCACCAGAAAUCUUUUCUUCUCCUCUUCCCUAGUAGUGGAAUUUUAGCUAGGCAUAUGGAUAUUCAGUUUUAGCCUCCACUUCCCAGCCUACUUUGCAACCAGUUAUGGUCAUGUGAUUAGUUCUCAUCAAUGGAAAUGGAAGAGGUAUGUGAAAGAAUGUGAGUGGAAGAGAUGUCUGCAGCAGCUUCUGUAUCAUUUUCAUGAAAGGAAAUUGCUUGCCCUUCAUCACUGUACUUUCUCCUUCUAGCUUGAUCUAAUUUCAGCCAGUUAAAAUAGCACCAUAGGGAUUGAAGAAGCAACAAGAUGGAAGAAACAAUGUCCUCAAAUGACUAACUGAAGAUAGGAGAGCUGCCCCACCAACCUGGACUACUCACUACUAGACUGUUACUUGACAGAGAAAUAAAUCGGUAUAUUAUUUAAGUCCCGGUAUUUUGAGGUUCUUUUUUUACAGCAGCUUAACACCUAUUCUAAUACUCCCAUUUUCUGAAUCUUUCACCACAGCCUUCUCUCCUUUCUCAUAAAAAGGGGAUGAAAGAAGGGAAGAGUCCCACCAAAGAGUAUUAAACAUAAUCCAA
rnacentral:lncRNA from 10 species